rnacentral:rRNA from 1 species
ACACGACUACAUUAGAUACCCCUGUAGUCCUAGCCGUAAACGAUACUCGCUAGGUGUCGGCCACGGUGCGACCGUUGUCGGUGCCGUAGGGAAGCCGUGAAGCGAGCCACCUGGGAAGUACGGCCGCAAGGCUGAAACUUAAAGGAAUUGGCGGGGGAGCACCACAACGGGUGGAGCUUGCGGUUUAAUUGGACUCAACGCCGGGAAGCUCACCGGAUAAGACAGCGGAAUGAUUGCCGGGCUGAAGACCCUGCAUGACCAGCUG